AUUGAACGCUGGCGGCAGGCUUAACACAUGCAAGUCGAGCGGGGGAGGUUGCUUCGGUAACUGACCUAGCGGCGGACGGGUGAGUAAUGCUUAGGAAUCUGCCUAUUAGUGGGGGACAACAUUCCGAAAGGGAUGCUAAUACCGCAUACGCCCUACGGGGGAAAGCAGGGGAUCUUCGGACCUUGCGCUAAUAGAUGAGCCUAAGUCGGAUUAGCUAGUUGGUGGGGUAAAGGCCUACCAAGGCGACGAUCUGUAGCGGGUCUGAGAGGAUGAUCCGCCACACUGGGACUGAGACACGGCCCAGACUCCUACGGGAGGCAGCAGUGGUGAAUAUUGGACAAUGGGCGGAAGCCUGAUCCAGCCAUGCCGCGUGUGUGAAGAAGGCCUUUUGGUUGUAAAGCACUUUAAGCGAGGAGGAGGCUCUUAAGGUUAAUACCCCAGAUGCGUGGACGUUACUCGCAGAAUAAGCACCGGCUAACUCUGUGCCAGCAGCCGCAGUAACAC
rnacentral:rRNA from 1 species